GUAGGGGAGGUCAGAAUGUGGGAGAGGCGGGGAAACUACUGCUAUAGAGGCCAUGUCCUUAGUAGGGGAGGUCAGAAUGUGGGAGAGGCGGGGAAACUAC